ACUGGUGUUGAUAGCAAGUUGGUUCCACCUCUUUCCAUUCCGAACAGAGAAGUUAAACAAUUUAACGGUGAAGAUACUGAUUUAUCGGGAAAAUAACAAGAUGCCAGUG
rnacentral:rRNA from 1 species